rnacentral:pre_miRNA from 13 species
CCACCGACAAGGAAACAAAUAGAUACCCAUCAUGUCUUUUGCUCUGCAGUCAGUAAAUAUUUAUUUGUGAAUGUGUAGCAGAAGACAGACUGGGGAUCCAUUUAUCUCAAAGAUGAAGACG